ensembl:lncRNA
CACACACACACACAUAUAUAUAUAUAUGCAGAGGUGGAGGCUACAGUCCCUCUACCACCACAGAGAGGUGGAGGAGAGGUGGAGGCUACGGUCCCUCUACCACCACAGAGAGGUGGAGGAGAGGUGGAGGCUACAGUCCCUCUACCACCACAGAGAGGUGGAGGGAGUGGAGGCCAGACACUCUUUACUAAGACAUUGCUUUGCUCCACUGUGCUCUGAACAUGCUGUUUGUGUUCUAGCGUUCCUUGACAGGAAGUGUGUGUGUGUGUGUUUGUGUCGCGCAAACUUGUUUGCAUCAAACUCUGAUGCACGUGUGAAAACGGAGGAAAUCAUUUUCCAGUCCCCAGUCCCACUUAAAUGCUUCCAAACUGGUUUGUACCUCACCUUCUCCCAGUUAGGACCUCUCUUUAUCUCCC